AAAAAAAUUAAUAUUUAUAAGUAAUUAAGGAGAGAAAAAAUUUUGUGAAUAUUUCAAUUAUGAAAUUAAGCUCGUCAAAAAUUAAAAGGAAUAAAUUUUAAUAUUUAAUAAUAAAUAUAAAUAAGAUUUUAUUUCAGGACGACCGUAUUACAACAACAAAUUCAAAUGUAAUUUGAAAAAUUUUAAAAGAUAUAUAGAGCAUAAGGUGUAGUUGGAGAAUUUGGAAAAUUCAAGAUUUUCGUUUGGACCGGAUAUAAAAAUUUAUAAGAAUUUUCAAUCUCUUUUUUUUUAUUUUCUUACUUUUGGAAAUUUAUGAAAACAAUAUCUUCGAUUUCCGCACGAGAUCAACGAUAUUAUACAAAAACAAAAGAAAAAGAACUAAAUAGCCAAAUAUUCUAAAAAUGAGAGUGCAGAAAUAAAGGAAGAACAAAAAAAAUCGAUUUAAAAACAAAUAUUCAAUUUAAUUUGAAUUUAAAUUUUUUUUUAAUAGCAAAAAGAAAAUUAUAAUCACGUUCAAAUUUAAGCUGUUUUAUUCAAUUUCCAAUUAAAGCAUACAAACACACAAUAUUCAUUGCAUUUUAAUAAUAAUUAAUUUUUUUUUUUUUGCAUUUUAAUUUUGAAUUUUCUUAUAUGCUAAAGUAAAUACAACAAAAACAAAAAUAAAAGAGGAAGGAAGGA